GGAUGUCGAUAUUGGAGGGC
rnacentral:miRNA from 1 species